rnacentral:snRNA from 1 species
GUCCCUGUCUACUAUCCAGCGAAACCAC